rnacentral:tRNA from 1 species
UGGCUGAGUGGUAAAGCGCUUGGCUUCCUAACCGGAGAUCCCGGGUUCGAAUCCUGG